CUGGAGAAAGCCCUUGCACAGAAAUGAAGACCCAACACAGCCAAAAAAAAAAAAAAAAAAGAUGUUAUUGAACUUGAUCAUGGAGUCGACUGGUACAGGCUGAGGAAAAACAACAACUUGCGUCGCUCUAUAAAAAUGUCAAGAUACCAUUAUUAGGAGAUGAAGAGGAGGGCUCUGAGGAUGAGGGCCAGGAUGAGUCCACGCACCUCCUUUCAGAGAGUGAGAAGGAACUGGAAAAGUUCAUUCAUUCAGUCAUUAGAUCAAAAAGAAGAAAAUAUAUGGAAAAGAAGAGAUUGAACACAGAGCAAAAGUUGGUAAAGGAAGUGGAAAUAAAGGAUGCUAUACAUACCGCAAAUCCAGGGCAUCUGUGAAAAGAAAUGAAAAAGAGGCAGGACAUGCCAGCCAGUGUGGAGGAAACAGUGACAGAUGACAGAAUGUGAGCAUGACUUGCUCCUGGAAAACCCUGUGCAAGAGCACUGUAAAGGAAGAACACCAGACGUAAAAACAGGAAAUAAAUUCAUAUGAUAUAGCAAUCUUGCUUCCUAGUUCUUAGAGUUUAUGAAUAAAUACAACUUAAUUGGAAAAGAAAAAAAUCCAACUUUGUAAGUGUGAAAGAGAAAUUGUCAGGAUUUUCUUUUCUCACUCCUAACCAGUAGUUUCUUCGGGGAUCUGGGACCUGGUGCAGGAAAUAGGUCUGCGGGCAAAGAGCUACAAAGCAUUGCCAGAUGUACUGAGUGCUGUAAGCUGGGAGUCACCGAGAGCUGUGGAAACACAAAAGGGGCAGGAUUUAAUCUGAGUGGUGUUGUUGGUGUGGAAAACAGUCUGAUGGUUCCUCGAAAAGGUAAACAUAGAGUCACUACCUGACCCAGCAAUUCCACUCCUGGGUAUAUAUCCAAAAGAAUUGAAAAUAUAUGUACCUGCACACAAGAGAAACCCUCACACAAACGUUCAUAGCAGCAUUAUUCAUAAGAGCAAAAAGGUGGAAACACCGCAUAUGUCCAUCAACUGAUAAAUUAACAAGAUGUGGUCUCUCCAUACAGUGGGAUGUUAUUAAGCAAGAAAAAAGAUAGAAGUACUGACACAUGGUACAACAUAGAUGAUCCUUGAAAACAUUAUGCUAAGUAAAAGCGGUUAGACACAAAAGGUCCACACUCGUAUGAUUCUAUUUAUACGAAAUACCUAGAAUAGGCAAAUCCAUAGAGGGUCAAAGUAGAUAAGUGGUUCUAGGUGCCCAGGGAGGGGAGAAAAGGGAACGAUGGUUGGUGGGUAGGAGGAUUCUCUUGGGGGCAAUGAAA